CUCACUUUUGCUGUUUUUGUUUAGUUUGUGAACAAAGACUUAGACAAAGUGCAAAAAAUAAAUCCUCUUUUGCAACCCAGGGGAAAAAAAAUUUUUUUAAGUAGGAAAGGGACAUG